CGAGUCGGUCGGACGGUCGCGUCACCGCUUCGGCGGUGCCGAGGAACGUCCGGGCUCCGAAGGGCAAGGUGGUGGCUAACGGCCACCCGGGGUGACCCGCGGGACAGUGCCACAGAGAACAGACCGCCCGCUCGCCUCGGCGUGCGGGUAAGGGUGAAACGGUGGUGUAAGAGACCACCAGCACGGCCGGUGACGGUCGUGGCUCGGUAAACCCCACCUGGAGCAAGGUCAGACAGGCUGUGAUCGAGGGCGGCCCGCCCGAUUCUCCUCGCGAGAAGCGCAGCCGGGUAGACCGCUCGAGCCCUGCGGCAACGCAGGGCCUAGAUGGAUGACCGUCACCCGUGCCGGGGCAACCGGGCACGGGGACAGAACCCGGCGUACAGACCGACUCGUCCG
rnacentral:RNase_P_RNA from 1 species